CCUACGGGGGGCUGCAGUGAGGAAUUUUCCGCAAUGGGCGAAAGCCUGACGGAGCAAUGCCGCGUGAAGGAUGAAGGCCUGCGGGUUGUAAACUUCUUUUCUUAGAGAAGAUAAUGACGGUAUCUGAGGAAUAAGCAUCGGCUAACCCUGUGCCAGCAGCCGCGGUAAUACAGGGGAUGCAAGCGUUAUCCGGAAUAAUUGGGCGUAAAGCGUCUGUAGGUGGUUUUGAAAGUCGAUUGUCAAAAACCAAGGCUUAACCUUGGGUGGGCAAUGGA
rnacentral:rRNA from 1 species